rnacentral:sRNA from 1 species
CGGUCCAACUCGGACACUACGGUUCCUGCGCGCUGUCCACGCUCGCCUGAUACCUGUCCGCAUGGCGUUGUUAGCC